rnacentral:rRNA from 1 species
GACGAACGCUGGCGGCGUGCUUAACACAUGCAAGUCGAACGGAAAGGCCCUGCUUUUGUGGGGUGCUCGAGGGGCGAACGGGUGAGUAACACGUGAGUAACCUGCCCUUGACUUUGGGAUAACUUCAGGAAACUGGGGCUAAUACCGGAUAGGAGCUCCUGCUGCAUGGUGGGGGUUGGAAAGUUUCGGCGGUUGGGGAUGGACUCGCGGCUUAUCAGCUUGUUGGUGGGGUAGUGGCUUACCAAGGCUUUGACGGGUAGCCGGCCUGAGAGGGUGACCGGCCACAUUGGGACUGGGAUACCGCCCAGACUCCUACGGGAGGCAGCAGUGGGGGAUAUUGCACAAUGGACGGAAGCCUGAUGCAGCAACGCCGCGUGCGGGAUGACGGCCUUCGGGUUGUAGGCCGCUUUCGCCUGUGACGAAGCGUGAGUGACGGUAAUGGGUAACGAAGCACCGGCUAACUACGUG